rnacentral:lncRNA from 1 species
CAGAAUAUGUGCAGGCCCUCCUGACCACUUCCAGGAAACCAUCUUCUGUGCAGAGGAGGAGGAUUGUCAGCAAGAUAGAAGAAGACCAUAGGAUGCUGCAAACUGUUUUUAAAGAGUGCUUAGGUCCUGCAGCGGGUCCCCUCAAAGAUCCUAUAAAAGCCAUUUUAGAACUUAUUCAAGCUUCUGAUGCUGAGGGUAUGAAAAUAGCCCUUCUGCCCAUUCUCAAAGAAUUUCCUGAUCUAAGGAAGGAACACCUGAGUGCAGUGCUGGACAUCAAAGACUCACUCAGCCGAGAAGACAGAGCUGCUCUCUUGAAGGCAUUUCACGAUAAUUGCAGGGAAUCAGAAACAGAAGCAAACUUGCUUUUUGGAGAUGUAGAAGUAAAACCUAGAAAAUAUGGACUCUGUGGCUGCCUCUGCUGUUAGCAAAGGCCUGCUGUGAGAAACUUAAGGUCUCACUCCCACGUGGCAACAUCUGCAGUCAACAGCUCCUUGAAAGCUUCAGGGACCUGUGCAGCCAGAUGCAUGGACAAGCUUGACAGCUAUGGAAGAAUGGAAGACACAUGCAGAACUUUUGCAGGAGAACCACGUGGCCCAAAUCCUAAUCUUCUAUGCAAAGUCCCAGUGGAAGAUGAAUGGGAUAUGGCAGAAAGACAUUCCUUCAAAAUUUGCUAGAGAUUGCUACUUAGCUGAGUCAUGGUGGUUAUUCCCAGGCUGUGUCAUGGUGGUGUGUAGAAGAGGAGGAAGGUUCCCCAUUACCAAAUUUCUGUCUGUUUCCAUCCCUUCAUGCAAUCUCACACAAAACCAGGGUCUGCUGCACCCCAUGGUGUCCUAGCAGGUGACAUGGCAUCACAAUCUCCCCCAGGGACCCAGAACCCUCUGUUAGGGAAACCUGCCUUACCGCGUGGUGCUG